UCCUCAUUAAGCUCAGAGGGAGACAUGUCAGAAGUAUUCCCAUGAAGAUGCAUGAAUUUGUUGCUUUCGAGAAAUGGAUUGACAUGAAGUUAGCACCCAGGCCCUUUGCUUUAAGAUGCCUAUCAGCUUGAGCUGAUCUGUUUGCAGAUUCUGUACCAUAUGCAGGGGGAGUAUCUGCAUCCAGUUUUUGGGUGCUCAAGAUGACACGAUUGGGAACAGAUGGUUUAGUGGAAGUCUGCAGAAUUCAAGCAAAUAAAAUGCAUCCUUUUUUGGGGGUGGGGGCAGGGAGAGUCAUGUACCAAUAUUUUUGUCCAAAUUAAGGAAUUGUAACAUGUAAACUCUGGUAUUUAAUUGUAUCAGUAGGUUUGGUUUCCUGUUUGUUGAAGUUUCCUGCAUGGUAGUUACGGCUAUCCUGCGUGAGUCGGUUCUUGGCAGUAAUUAUACAAUGUUUGUUCUUAUUCUGUGCUUUAUUAUGUCUUCCCAUGCGUCCACGUGCUGUCUUGUUUUGUCUCUGGGAUGCUAAUGGAAUAGUUGAAGGAAGGAGCAGCUGAAGAAACGGGCUCUGAUCCUGUGGUGUGGGUCUGGUUACUGUGAUAGCAGCAGUUAGUUCCCUUGUGAUGAAGCAAGAGUUCUCCUGAAUUAUGGACAACUUCUCGUUUUCUUUCGUCCCACCAAAUCAUCCCGAAGAUGAUUUCCUUCCCACUUUCAUUCUGAAGAGCUGGUGAAAGCCUUUUAGUGAAACUUGGUGUCACUGAGGAGGAAAGAAAUUGGAAAGCCAUGGAAAAAUGGCUUAUAUUGGAUCCAGGAGCUCCCGCAGAGGAAGACGUUAUCUUUAAUCCUUUUUGUCUCAGGCAGACACUGCAAGAGAUGACAAGGUUCAGCAAGAUGACUCGGGCCAAAUUUACUUUUUUCCAUCUAAGAGCCAAAGAGUGGGAAAGGAAGACCAGAUCAGCAGCAUCAGGUAACAGUGCGAGCCCAGCUGAAUCCACAAUGGAAGAGCUCCAGAAGGUGAGAGAUGUGCAAAGCUCCAACCAGCAACACAGAGACAUCUUGAGGCAGAAGAAAAUCCUCAAGACUCCACAUAGUACCCUUUAAGUACUGAGCUGCUUAAAAUAUCAUUCCGUUUAUUGUAAUUUGAGAUGUGAAAUUCCAGUAGGCAUUUACAAUUCAGAUCCCAUUCCUAAGGGAUUCCCAUUUAGGUUCUGUUCAUUUGAUUUUUCUAAGCCUUUCUUUGCUUACAGACGCUUGAGAUCAUUAGGUAAAAUGUACAUAUAUGCUCAGAGACAAAUGUUUAUCAUCAUUCCCUCAAUGAAUCAUUUACCAGCCCUGACAAGUCCUAAUGUCCCUAGCAUGUCAGCAGCACCCCCUCCUGCCUCUCUCCUGUCCAUGGCGUUCCCUGCCCUCGCCCCUUUAGUCUCCCACAUCUCAAAAUUUCAAAGAGUAUUGCCCCCAUCAAUCACAGGAAUUUAGCUGGCAGCAGGGAAGUGGGGGAGGAGGGUUGGAUAGGCAGUGGAAUCAUUAUCCAAAUACUUCAUUAAAAAAAAAAAAACCUACAAAAAAUAAUGGCCCCUUUGUUCUGAAGGGGAAGGCAAAAUAGAAGGGUGGAUAAGGAGUCUCUGAGACAUCAAACUCAAGCUGAUUUCAAGAUGGUGAUGGUGUUUGGUGACAGCUUCCAAAGUGAGUGAGUGCAGCCCCCUUUGCUAAGGAGAGAAAUCCCUCUGCUCUUGUGGCUGGACCUCCACACACUCAGGGGCGGUCUCAGGAGCUGCUGCCCAAAGGGCACACAUUUCUGAUUUUCCAAGCAGGGACGGUCAUCCAGGGGAACCACCAUAGGCAACCUCAUCCAGUGAUGUCUGUCCUCUUUGCACCCAUCAUGCCCGAGGAGUUAGGAACCCCGAUUCUGGCUUGGUUGGGCUUCAUUUUUCUCAUUGCUGGGCCAAGAGAGGGUAUGAUUCUCAUUACUAAUCAUAUGCUCUAUCUUUAGCGCUUUCCACUGAUUUACAGUAUCACCUUGGGAAAGAUGAAUGACCUUCCUGGGUACCCCCCUUCCUAGUUUCUUCUCAUCUGGCCAGAGUGUGGUUGUUUGGUUGUUGCU
rnacentral:lncRNA from 12 species